UUGUGCAUGUUAUCGAGGGCAGUCAGCACUGAUUUUGUUGUGUGUUUUUUUGGGUUAAGGGUGAUUCCUAGGAUGUGUGGAAGGAGCAAGGCGUCUGCCAGCCUGAAGGUGGCAUUGCAGGGCUGUGGAUGCAUCCUUGGGGAUGGAAGGUGCUGGGAACUGCUGGUGGCUCUGAUCCCGCCCAGCUCUGCCUUGGGGUCUUCUGAGCAGGCACCAAAACUGCCCUGAAAUAGACAAUGUAGAGAACUUCCUCCUCAGCAUCUCAAACAUUCUGCUUUUCAUGUGACUUGUUUAUGAUACUCAAGGAUAAGCAAGAGCAGAGUCAGCUGUCCCUACAGUCAACGUAUUUCCAGCAAUGGCAGAACAAGGUGACAUCCAUCUCCAUUUUUAAAUGGCUUCGUGGCCAGAAAAGAUUGGUUUUGUUUUGUGAACAAAUAUUGCUUUGAAGGAAUCCCUCUUUCCCCCAGUUUCAUCCCCAGGAAAGAGAGAAAAAGUACCUGAAUGUGAGCUCCAGCUUCCUGGGGACAGGCAGAAACCAGAGGCUGGAGAUGACAGUCACCCACUAAGCCACUUCAGUGUGUAGUGCAGAUGCCAUCCUACACUGCAAUGACCGCUCUUCUGGGACCAUCACUGCCUGAGUCACCUCCUCAUAAAGCUGCUCCCAGAUUCAUGUUUUCCACAGCUACUUCACAUCCUAUAAUAGAGGUUUUACUAUUCAAAUGCUGUUGUGCUCUCUUUCCAUACCACUACACACACUGGUGAAGAAAAGAGAUUAAAGAGAUGGUGAAGAAAAGCCAUAAACGGAUUUAGGUACAGAAGUCACAGUUAUGGCUUUGAAAGCUGUACCCAGCCAGCAGUGGAAGUGUGUGCAUCCCUGUGGUUUGGGUAGUAAGGAUCUCUAGGGAGCUGUCUGUCUACCUAGGGAAUAGGAUCCUGAAUCCUCUUUGGGGAUGGUCUAAACCUGGCUAUAUUCGUAUUGAGGGCAUGGCCUCAGUUUGGGACUGACGCACAAAACAAAAACCGAAGUCAGAGCACUAAGGUUAAAACAGGCUGUUUUUCACACAUCAAAGUUUGAAAUGAAGAAAUACAGAUUGGCUCCAGUCCUGGAUUUUUUAUCCCACGUUUAUCACGGAUGGUGAUGAGGACAAACCACAGGAGGACCACGAGUGUGGCUGUGUUUCCAGCAACCCACAGAUUAUUACACCUGGACAACUGCGGCUUCUUUAAUCCUCCACUCGAAGUAAAUCAAUACAUUUUGUAGUUUGCACCUCUGGAAGCUCGUAGGCUCUGCUGGGUACCUCGGGAGCAUUUUCUGGGUUAAAAUGUUCUGCUCAUUCAGCUUCUGGCAUUAGCAAUCUCCUGUAAAUGACUGUAUGAAGAGUCAGAAAUGUUUCCCUUUCCCUGUUAUCAAGCACAAAAGGCCGGGGUCCAUCCUGCUGACAGAAAUGCUGUCUGCAACCUGCUCUCCAGUUGGUAUGGGAUUUUUGUGCAUUAAGGAGACUGAUGCUUUUUUUAACAUCAGUCUCAUCAACCACCUCUUCUGGGUACCAAGUAUCUAAAUAUCUUCUCAAUACCAUCUCUUUGCCCAGAGAGGCGGUGGAUGCUCCAUCCCUGGGGAUACUCAAGGUCAGGGUGGACAGGGCUCUGGGCACCUGGUGGAGCUGUAGGUGUCCCUGUUCAAUGCAGGGGAGUUGGACCAGGUGGCCUUUAUGGGUCCCUUCCAACUCAAACCGUUCUGUGAAGGUCUCUUCCAACUCAAACCAUUCUAUGAAGGUCUCUUCCAACUCAAACCAUUCUAAUGUAAGAUGCUGCCCAGAAGAGUCUCUAUAAAACAUAUUUUCAGCACACCUUUCUGUUUUGGAUCGCUUCAGACACUUUCUAGUUUUCCAGACCAAUCUUUUAAGAAUAUCUGUUCUCAUUCAGAUGGUGGAGGAUGCUGGUGCGGGUCAAUUAUUCAACACACUCUUGCUUUAACAGCUGAGCUGUAGAAUUGCAUAUAUUGGCCUUACAAUCCACAGAAGCACAGUGCCCACAAAUGAAGUGCUGGCUGCUUUUUAUACGACAAACUUGCUAUCAGAGGAACCUGGGGAAUACGAUCAAUACAUAAAUCAACACCCUGGGGAAAAGAAGUGGAAUUGCAGGGUUUCUGCUUUGAGAGAACCAAGUUUGUGAGUCACACAGUUCACAAGUGCAUGUUAGAAGAGAUCUCGGGCCUCAACUUUUUGCAGUGCUGAAGUUGCCAAACUCUACUGAUUGCUCUGCCUGUGAAAAAAGAAACAAAAUAAUUUCAUAUGCAAGGUUUCCCUCCUAAUGCGUGUUUAAUUAAAAACUUAAUUGACUUGAGCUAAGUAAUUUUGGACCCUGGUAAAGUAAAUGAACAUCUAAAGCUCCCUGAGGCCAUUAUAACAAACACCAUCCAGAAAAAAAGGCUUUACACAGAGCAAAACCAAGGUGUGUGAAACAGCCAAGAUGGUGGUGGGUGGGUCUGAACUGGGCAGUGGGGACCCCACACUAGGGCAGGGUUUUGUUCUGUCG
ensembl:lncRNA